GAUGAAGAACGUAGCGAAAUGCGAUAAGUAAUGUGAAUUGCAGAAUUCAGUGAAUCAUCGAGUCUUUGAACGCACAUUGCGCCCCCUGGUAUUCCGGGGGGCAUGCCUGUCCGAGCGUCAUUGCCGCCCUCAAGCACGGCUUGUGUGUUGGGCCCCCGCCCCCCGGCUUCGGGGGGCGGGCCCGAAAGGCAGCGGCGGCACCGCGUCCGGUCCUUGAGCGUAUGGGGCUUCGUCACCCGCUCUGUAGGCCCGGCCGGCGCCCGCCGGCGACCCCAAUCAAUCUUUCCAGGUUGACCUCGGAUCAGGUAGGGAUACCCGCUGAACUUAAGCAUAUCAAUAAGCGGAGGA
rnacentral:misc_RNA from 1 species